AGAGUUUGAUCCUGGCUCAGGAUGAACGCUAGCUACCCAGGCUUAACACAUGCAAGUCGAGGGGCAGCAUGACCUAGCAAUAGGUUGAUGGCGACCGGCGCACGGGUGAGUAACACGUAUCCAACCUACCGGUUAUUCCGGGAUAGCCUUUCGAAAGAAAGAUUAAUACCGGAUAGUAUAACGAGAAGGCAUCUUCUUGUUAUUAAAGAAUUUCGAUAACCGAUGGGGAUGCGUUCCAUUAGUUGUUGGCGGGUAACGCCACCAAGACAUCGAUGGAUAGGGGUUCUGAGAGGAAGGUCCCCCACAUUGGAACUGAGACACGGUCCAAACUCCUACGGGAGGCA
rnacentral:rRNA from 1 species